CCUACGGGCGGCAGCAGUGGGGAAUAUUGCACAAUGGGGGAAACCCUGAUGCAGCGACGCCGCGUGAGUGAAGAAGUAUUUCGGUACGUAAAGCUCUAUCAGCAGGGAAGAAAAUGACGGUACCUGACUAAGAAACCCCGGCUAACUACGUGCCAGCAGCCGCGGUAAUACGUAGGGGGCAAGCGUUAUCCGGAUUUACUGGGUGUAAAGGGAGCGUAGACGGCAGCGCAAGUCUGGAGUGAAAUCCCAUGGCUUAACCAUGGAACUGCUUUGGAAACUGUGCAGCUAGAGUGCAGGAGAGGUAAGCGGAAUUCCUAGUGUAGCGGUGAAAUGCGUAGAUAGUAGGAGGAACACCAGUGGCGAAGGCGGCUUACUGGACUGUAACUGACGUUGAGGCUCGAAAGCGUGGGGAGCAAACAGGAUUAGAUACCCCAGUAGU
rnacentral:rRNA from 1 species